AGCAGCAGCAGCAGCAACAGCACCUGAUUAAGUUGCAUCACCAAAGCCAGCAACAACAGAUGCAACAGCAGCAGCAACUGCAGAGGAUGGCACAGUUGCAGCUGCAGCAACAGCAACAACAGCAGCAACAGCAGCAGGCUUUGCAGGCCCAGCCACCAAUGCAACAGCCACCAAUGCAGCAGCCACAGCCUCCUCCUUCUCAGGCCCUACCCCAGCAGCUGUCACAGAUGCAUCAUCCACAGCAUCACCAGCCACCACCUCAGGCUCAGCAGUCCCCCGUUGCUCAGAACCAACCACCACAACUCCAACCACAGUCACAGAACCAGCCUUUGGUGUCACAAGCACAAGCCCUGUCUGGACCAAUGCUCUAUGCUGCCCAACAGCCACUGAAAUUUGUCCGUCCUCCGAUGGUGGUCCAGCAGCCGCAGGUGCAGCCCCAGGUGCAGCAGGUGCAGCCCCAGGUGCAGCCACAGGCAGCAGUGCAGACAGCACAGUCUGCCCAGAUGGUAGCUCCCGGCGUUCAGGUCAGCCAAAGCAGCCUCACCAUGCUGUCCUCACCGUCACCAGGCCAGCAGGUGCAGACCCCACAGUCGAUGCCCCCUCCCCCACAGCCAUCCCCACAACCUGGCUCACAGCCCAACUCUAAUGUCAGCUCCGGCCCUGCCCCAUCCCCCAGCAGCUUCCUGCCUAGCCCCUCACCACAGCCUUCCCAGAGCCCAGUGACAGCACGCACCCCACAGAACUUCAGCGUCCCUUCCC
rnacentral:lncRNA from 1 species